GAUGAACGCUGGCGGCGUGCCUAAUACAUGCAAGUCGAGCGAACGGACGAGAAGCUUGCGUCGCUGAUGUUAGCGGCGGACGGGUGUAUAACACGUGGAUAACCUACCUAUCAGACUGGGAUAACUACGGGACACCGGAGCUAAUACCGGAGGAUAUCUUGAAGCGCAGGGUUCAAAAGUGAAAGACGGUCUUGCGGUAUCUUCUAGAUGGAUCCGCGCUGGAUUAGCUAGUUGGUAAGGUAACGGCUUACCAAGGCAACGAUGCAUAGCCGACCUCAUAGGGUGGUCGCCCACCCGGGAACGGGGCCGCGGUCCAUACUCCUGCGGUACGCCGCAGUAGGGAAUCGGCCGCAAUAGGCGAAAGCCUGACGGAGCAACGCCGCGUGAGUGAUGACGGUCUUCGGUUCGUAAAACUCUGUUAUGAGGGAAGAACAUAUGUGGCAGUAGCUGUGCACAUCGUGACGGUACCUAGUCAGAAAGCAACGGCUAACUACGUG
rnacentral:rRNA from 1 species